GUUGACGAAUUAGUAUUCCAGAACAAUGCGCUGUUCAUAAAUUUUGGAGCAGGAACAGUAAUUUAAGAGUUCUCUUGAAAUUGACAAAAGUUUUCUGGUUCAUUUUCAUAAAUUUCGAAGUGAAUCGGAUUAUAGCUCUUUUUCAUGCACUCCACCGUAAACAUAAAUCAACACACACACACCGGGUAGUGUAGUGGUUAGCUCGCUCGGGUCAUAACCGAGACGGCCCGGGUUCGAGUCCCGGGCGCGGCGAGACAAAUGGGCGGGCCUCUUUAUGUGUAGCCCCUGUUCACCUAACAGCAAGUAGGUACGGGAUGUAACGCGACUGGUUGUGGCCUCGCUGUCCCGGUGUGUGGUGUGUGAGUGGUCUCAGUCCUGCCCAAAGAUCGGUCAGUACGAGCUGUGAGCUCUUUCCAUAGGGGAACGGCUGGCUGUGUGACCACCAGGCGACCAUAGGUGACUGACACGACACACACACACACACACACACACACACACACACACACACAUUCACACACACACACACACACACGAUCAGAACAAAAGUGCAUAAUUUAAAACGAACAUCACUUUGACUUUUCCCCAGUAGGCACUCAGGAAGCUAACCAUGUGCGCUAUUACAUCACCUUCCAGAGCCUCAAGACUCUAGCUACACCCACAACACUUAAUCCCUUGCCCACCACAGCAGCACAUACAAUAGAGGCGCGGCCGAGCAGUUAGAAAGGAGGUGGAAGACUCAUCUCCUAGACACCAGGUAUAGUUUAGCAGGCCAGGUUGGGCGAGAUUAGCAAUAACAAAGGAGGACCCGAGCUACCACCCCCGCGGAGUCUGGCUGAUGAAAUAGUAAAGCAGUGGCCGCGGGAACACACCUGUAAUUAAAACCAACACGGGAAUGACGGUGCGGCAGGAGAUACACACAGGCACUGGUAAUGGCGGCGGUUUGUUAAAGUAAUAGUUCUGCUCCUGACCUUAUUCUUCUGUUAAUGCAGGUGUUGUUAGUGCGAUGAUCCCUGUUAAUUAGACCAGAGGGGACGUCCUUAUGUCCAGAUGGAGUAAUUACAGGUCACAAUGGUCUCCUCCGUCAAUGUCCUGUGGGUUGUCACUGCUGCUGCAGAGUUACUGGCGUGGCAGUGAAAGUCGUGUGUCAAGUGUGGCUGGAAUGCUUCCUUUGCUUCCUCAUGGCACGCGGGGAAGUAAGUUUUGUUUGAAGAGUUUUCUUUGUUUCAUCUUUCUGAGUCUUAGUACCUGUUGUCGUCACGUGCACUCACUCUCUUUCUCUCUCUCUACCCCCCGCAGGUGUGUGUCCCAGGUGUUCCAUUGCUGCUCAUUGAGAAGGUGAGGCUGAAGCUCCCUACUGCAGGGUUCUCGAUUCUUGGGCGUGUAAGGGAGUCCGUUGAAGGCAAACUGGUAAGCGGAGGCAGCGCGGCGUGUGACUGACGGUUGCUGACUCGUGUUGCCUUCGUCGUGGCGGUGUUCGUGGCGCCCGGCAAAGAGAGUGAGGAGCCGCCGCGCCCUCCGUCACCUCUUGGAUGUUGAAGGUAAGUGU